rnacentral:lncRNA from 1 species
CGCUCACAAAAAAAAGGGGGAGGAUCUGGAGACCAGGCACAUCUACAAGAGGAGAUGGUGAGAGGAGGGGUGCCUCAGACCAGAUUGUAUAUUAGACCCUCACAAUCAGAGUACGCUCUCCUUCUGGGUCGAGAAACAGUUUUUCCUCCAGGUCCACAAUGUUGGGACAACUACUUUUUCAGAGCGCGGUGACCCUCUGGCUGGUGCAGACCGCAUAUACAGGUGGUUAUGGUGCUGCAUCUGGAGUAUCCAAUGGACAAGGGCCGCAGCCUAAUGGAAAUAAGCUCCAAAACGGUGGAGCAUUGGGAAGAAUGCUGAUUCCAUCAAAAGGUGUGGGUCAGGCAAUGGGUGCACAAAAUGGAUAUGGAGGACACCCUACCAAAGGAAUAGGUUAUGGAGCAGCAGCAGGAGUUUCAAGUGCAAACGGAGGAAAGUCUAAUGGUUACGGAGCAGCAGCUGAUGUGAACAAUGGAAGAGGGGUUAAAGGCUAUGGAGGAGCAGCUGGUGUGACCAAUGGACAAGGUGGAAAACCACAGGGAUAUGGUGUCCAGGCCGGCCCCGCCAAUGGACAACAAAUGAAAGGCAACGGUAUGAUACUGAGGACAAAUUCUCUAUAUUAAAUACAUUCAUUUAUUUAUUUUUUGUUUUUAGUGCAUUUGUAAAAAAAAAAGAAAAAGGGGAUGUUCUGGUGAUUUUUUUUUUAAUGAAAGUUGUUUUCAAAAAUCCAAAAAAAAUCUCUCUCUCUCUCUUUCUCUCACACACUCUCUCUCUUUCUCACACACACACUGAGCAACAACAGUGGUCAAUUUACACUGUUUUGACGUUUCAGGCUACGGUGCUCAAGCUGGUGGAUAUGGUGUCCAGGCCGGCCCAGCCAAUGGUCAAAAAAUGAAAGGCAACGGUAUGAUACUCAGGAAAAAUGUGUUUUGUCUCUCUCUCUCUUUAUCUCUCACUUACUCAAUCACACUGAGCAACAUCACUGGUCAAUUUAAA